GAGCAAUGAUGAAAAUUUGCACUAAUUGUGAACGAUGGGUCGUCACACCCAUCUGAUCCUCAGAUGUAAAAAUGUGCAUCUGAGCUC